UCUUUUUGAAUUUUAAUUUAAAGUCUAGCCUGCCCACUGAAAUUAAUUUUAAUGGCCGCAGUAUUUUGACUGUGCAAAGGUAGCAUAAUCAUUAGUUUUUUAAUUGAAAGCUUGUAUGAAAGGUUGGACGAGGUAAAAUCUGUCUCUAUUUAAUUUAUUUUAGAAUUUAAUUUUUAAGUUAAAAAGCUUAAAUUUUAUUAAAAGACGAGAAGACCCUAUAGAUCUUUAUAAUUUUUUUUAUAAAUUUAAUUAUGAAUUAUUUAGAAUUUAUAAUAUAAAUUAUUUUAUUGGGGUAAUAAAAAGAUUAAAAUAAUUCUUUUUUAUUUUUAACAUUAAUUUAUGAAUUUAAUGAUCCAAUUUUAUUGAUUAUAAGAUUAAGUUACCUUAGGGAUAACAGCGUAAUUUUUUUAGAGAGUUCAUAUCGAUAAAAAAGUUUGCGACCUCGAUGUUGGAUUAAAGAUUAGUUUAGGUGUAGAAGUUUAAAUUUUUGGUCUGUUCGACCAUUAAAUCUUUACAUGAUCUGAGUUCAGACCGGCGUAAGCCAGGUCGGUUUCUAUCUUUAAUAAUUUUAAAAUAUUUUAGUACGAAAGGACCAAAUAUUUAAUAUAUUUAUAUUUUAUUUUUUGAAUAUUAUUAAAUUGUUUUGGCAGAUUAGUGUAAUGAAUUUAGAAUUCAUAAAUGUAAUUAUUUUUACAAACAAUACUUGUUUUAUAUAGAUUUAAUUUUUUCUUUAAUUUGUAUAUUUUUAUUAAUUAUUUGUGUUUUAGUUGGGGUAGCAUUUUUAACUUUAUUAGAGCGAAAAGUU
rnacentral:rRNA from 1 species